rnacentral:rRNA from 1 species
ACGUAGGGUGCGAGCGUUAAUCGGAAUUACUGGGCGUAAAGGGUGCGCAGGUGGUUACGUAAGUCUGAUGUGAAAGCCCCGGGCUCAACCUGGGAACUGCGUCUGAUACUGGUUGGCUUGAGUUUGGGAGAGGGAUGCGGAAUUCCAGGUGUAGCGGUGAAAUGCGUAGAUAUCUGGAGGAACACCGGUGGCGAAGGCGGCAUCCUGGACCAACACUGACGCUGAGGAGCGAAAGCCAGGGGAGCAAACGGGA